ACAGAUGAUGGGGCCAGCCUAGGAUCGUACAGUUACCCAAAAAGGUUGUCACGGCGUCUUAAGAGUUCGGAGAAAGGGUGAAAGAGGAGAGAGAAACGGGACUUCUAAAAAAGUCUCGGAGGGAGAAAAGGAAGCAUUCCUGCCCGAGGACCAGCCCUUCCCUUCUGCCCGAUCUGCACGUCUUCCCUUACUAAGUACACGCUUCUCUUUUGCCGUCUGGUCUUAAAAAAAAAACCCCUUUCGUCUCUCUCUCAUCGCGAAAACGCCCCUCUUUAAAACCAUCAAUUCCCUUUAUAUCCCUUCAUCGUCCUAGAUCUGACUUUCACCCUUCAAUUCUCUCUCUCUCUCUCUCUCUCUCUCUACAAAUUCGCCCUAGAUUUUCAAUUCGCCCUCUCUCUCUCUCUUCUUCGGUAGGGUUUCAAUCUCGCGCGCGCUACGGAACCUUUUCCGCCACGGAUCUAGAGUUUCCGUCCUCCCGAAUUGUCAGCCUCUAGGGUUUUGGUGGCCGUGGCAGUGGGACCGUUGGGACGGGAUUGAUGUUUCUCGCUGGGGGCGAAGGCCGGAUCGGAAUCGGGGAAGAUGCGAGGUUAUUAUGCUGCAUGGGCGGGAAGGUGAGGAGUGGAAACCACGUCGGCACAUGUGGCCUGUCCCCGCCACGACAGUAACCGCUGCACCACCUCCUCCCCAUGGUCCCUCGCCCGCCCCUGACCCUGCCGCCAAUUCGUUCGUCAAGGAUGGGCGCAAGGUUAGUGUUGGUGACUGUGCACUUUUCCAGAGUGGAAAUUCCCUACCCCACAUUGGAAUAAUUCGUUGGUUAACAUCGGGCAAAGAGGAUUGCUUCACACUAGGUGUGAAUUGGCUUUACCGACCUGCUGAUGUAAAGCUUGCCAAAGGUGCAUUGCUGGAAGCCGCACCGAACGAAGUCUUUUACUCAUUCCAUAAGGAUGAGACAUCUGCUGCAUCGUUACUCCAUCCGUGUAAAGUCGCAUUUCUUCGUAAAGGUGUUGAACUUCCUUCAGGGAUAUCCGCAUUUGUAUGCAGGCGAGUGUAUGACAUUGCAAACAAAUGUUUAUGGUGGCUAACUGAUCAGGACUACAUCGAUGAGCGACAGGAGGAAGUUGAUCAGCUAUUAGACAAAACACGACUAGAAAUGCAUGCAGCAGUGCAGUCAGGUGGACGUUCUCCAAAACCGUUGAAUGGUCCAGCUUCAACACAGCCGUUAAAGCCUGCUUCAGACAGCACACAGAAUAGCACAACCUCGUUUGCUUCUCAAGGUAAGGGUAAGAAGAGGGAACAGUGUGAUCGGGGUCUGGAGCCCAUCAAGCGAGAGCGUUCUUCCAAAGCUGGUGAUGCAGAGUCCGGUCAUCUUAGAAAAGAAAGCAUGAUCAAAGCUGAGGUUGCCAAAAUAUUAGAUAAGGGAGGGAUCAUAAACUUGGAAGCAGUUGAGAAGCUGGUACAUCUCAUGCAAAUUGACAGAGCUGAGAAGAAAAUAGAUUUGGCUGGCCGAGUAAUGCUUGCGGACGUGAUUGCAGCCACAGAAAGGCCUGAUUGCCUUGGCCGCUUUGUGAAUCUCAGAGGCGUGCCUAUAUUGGAUGAUUGGCUCCAAGAGGCACACAAAGGGAAGUUUGGUGAUGGCAGCAGCCCCAGGGAAAGUGACAAAUCUGUUGAGGAAUUUCUUUUGGCUGUGCUCCGAGCACUUGAUAAAUUGCCUGUAAAUCUCCAUGCCCUACAGACUAGUAAUGUUGGCAAGUCUGUGAAUCAUUUGCGUAGUCAUAAAAACUUGGAAAUCCAAAAGAAAGCCAGAAGUUUAGUUGAUACAUGGAAGAAGCGUGUUGAAGCAGAGAUGAAGAUUAAUGAUGCAAAGUCUGGGUCAAACCAAGCCGUUUCAUGGCCUGGAAAACCAGGUUUCUCUGAGGUUUCUCAUGGGGGAAACCGACGCUCAGGGUCUUCUGAGGUUGCUGCUAAAAGCUCCAUCUCACAGCCUGCUUCAAGCAAAAUGGGACCUGUUAAACUUGGUCAUGGAGAUUCUGUUGCCAAGUCAACGUCUGCAUCCCCUGGAUCAGUGAAAGUGAUACCAUUAUUGCCUGCAUCAGCUGGUAUCAGCUCAAAGGAUCUGAACUGCAAAAUGGCAGGUAGCAGUGGUGCCUCAGAUAUUCCUCUGACAACUAUAAAGGAGGAGAAGAGCAGCAAUUCCAGUCAGUCUCAGAACAAUAGUCAGUCAUAUUCAAGCGAUCAAGCUAAAUCUGCUGCUUCUGCAUCGAAGGAGGAUGCAAAGAACUCUGCUGCUGGGUCUACGAGUGCCAAGACCACUGGUGUUUCUCGUACUCGGAAAUCAAGCAAUGGCUUUCUGGGAUCUGGAGUUCAAAAGGAAACAACUGCUUCAGGAAAAUCUGUUUCUUUAGGUAGGACAACCAUAGCUGACAAAGUAUCACAGACUCGAUUGAUGAGUGAAGGAGCACCUGAUAUGCGCCCUGCAGAUCUUGGAAACAGUCACAGACUGAUUGUUAGGCUUCCGAACCCUGGCCGCAGCCCAGCACGAAGUGCAAGUGGGGGUUCUUUUGAGGAUCCUUUGGGUAGCAGAGCUGCUUCUCCAGGAGCUUCUGAGAAACUUGAUCACAUAGACAGAAAAGCAAAGGGAAAGAGUGAUAUUUCUUGGGCUAAUACCUCGACAGAUGUGAAUACAGAGUCAUGGCAGAGCAAUGAUGUGAAAGAUGGUUUGUCUGGCCUGGUUGAAGGUGACAGGUCACCCAAAGCUGCUAUUGAUGAAGAACACAGGAUCACUGGUGAUAUUGCAAAAUCGAUGGAUGCAUCGAGAGGUACCUACUCACCCUCAGGAAAUGAAAAAGGGGCAUUCUUUGCUGAAACAAACACAGGGAGACAGUAUGAAGGUUCUUUCAGUUCCAUAAAUGCUUUGAUUGAAAGCUGUGUCAAAUGCUCCGAAGUGAGUACAUCUUUAUCAGCAGAUGAUGAUAUUGGGAUGAAUCUACUUGCCAGUGUAGCUGCUGGGGAAAUACCCAAAUCUGACCCAGUUUCUCCUAGCAGUUCUCCUGGGAGAAGCUCACCUACACCAGAGGACCCUUUUACAGGCAACAACAGCACGCUGAGAUCAUCACAUGAUGAUGAUGUGGCUCAAGGCCACAGUCAACACGAGGAUGGUGCAGAUGCUGACCCUGGGAGGCAGGUCAAUAUGGUUGGUCCUAAACAGAUUAUGGAUGAAUCAAGACAGAUCAGUACACCACCAAUUGACAGUAUUUCGGGGGACAGUAAAAGUAGUUUGCCCUUGCCCGAACAGAAAUCAUCAGGUGAGCAAAGUGAACAGAUUCCUCCUUCCUGUAUGGACUCGUGUCAAACUGUGGACUUGGGCAUAAAAUCUGAUCCGAGACCUGAUGUAACAGCAACUGAUGGAUCUGUGGCUGGAACAACUGGUUUGAUUUCUAUAGAAACUUGUUUACCAGAAUCCAGGGAGGAGUGCUCAGAGGGUGGUGGAGCCACCCAACUUCCUGAAAAAAGGAUUAGUGGGGAGAAUACUGAUGGUGCUGACAUUAAACCAAAUGUGAGAACUCCACCUGAUGAAGAUAAGACAACCAAUUAUGCAGGUGAAAAGAGUGCAGAUAGUAGUAUGUCACCUGAUUCUGUUCGUGGUUCCAUGGAAGGUGGAUGCGAAAUUGAGCAGGCUGCUUCAAUUAAGAAAAUUGAGGAAGCUGCCGAAGAAUCGCCAUCAUGUCCACCUUUGGAAAAUGACAGAGGUAGGGAUACAAAUAAUGUACCUGAAGCUGAUGCCACGACAACUGAGCAGCGCCCACCUCCUGUUGCUGCAAAUCAUGUUGAGGCUUUGGAAAGGGGUAGUGUGGAGGCUGCAGCACCUUCUGGUUCUGGUAGUGUUCUCCAUUCAGAUGAUGUCGGUGAACCUAAGCCAGAACAAGCCGAAGGCAUGGAAACAAGCAGUCACCUGGAGGGAACUGGUGAUAAUGAAAGGGUGGAGCACACAAGCCCUGCUCCCCUGACACUUGAUGAUCGAGCUGGAUCUGGUGUAGGUACGGUGGUUGUAAAUCAAAACAAUGUUGACAGGCUUGAGGAGAAGUCCAAUAGAAAAGAUCUCAGUUUAUCUUCUCCCAGUGAAGUGUUACCUACAAUUACGUCCCAAGAAAAUGGACGUCUCAUGAAGUUUACACUAUCCAAGUUGUCCAGUGUUGAAGAUGAAAUGGAGGAAUGUGCAUCCCCUGCAGAAGGUUCUUCUGUAGCCAAUGUUGUUGGAUCGGACAUAACCACAAAGCUUGACUUUGAUUUGAAUGAAGGGUUUGCUGUUGAUGAAGGGAACCAAGGAGAACUGGUUACCUCCACCACAUCAGGAUGUAUGUCUGCAGUUCAUUUGCCUAGCCCGUUGCCGUUUUCUGUUUCUCCUGUGUCCAGCGGGUUGCCUACCUCCAUCACGGUAGCUGCUGCUGCAAAGGGGGCUUUUGUUCAUCCUGAGCACCUAUUGAGGAGUAAAGGAGAUCGAGCGUGGAAAGGAUCAGCUUCCAAUACAAGUGCAUUUAAGCCACCAGAUCGUCGGAAGGGUCUGGAGAUGCCACUCAGUACUACUGAUAUCACAUCUUCUGAUACCACUGGAGGGAAACAGGGUCGGUCUCCAUUGAAUAUUGAUCUGAAUGUGCCUGAUGAGAGACUUCUGGAAGACAUGGCUUCUCGCAGUUCUGUUCAGGAGGCAGGUUCUGGAUCUGUGGGUACUAGUAACUGUGCUUUGGGAUGCAUCGAGAUGUCUGGUUCUUCUCCUGCACCCAUUCGCAGCGCUGGACUGGAUCUUGAUUUGAACAGAGCAGAUGAAGGUCCAGAGAACGGGCAAUUCUCAGCAAGCACCAGCCGGAGAUUUGAAGUGCCACUUCUACCAGGAAGAUCAUCAUCAUCUGGUGGAUUCCCUAACGGUGAGAUGAAUGUCCUGAGGGACUUUGAUCUGAACAAUGGACCAGGUUUCGAUGAAAUGGGAGCCGAAGCAGCAGCACACAACCAGCAUGCCAAAGCCAAUGUGCAGUACUUGCCACCUGUUUCCAGCGUUAGAAUGAACAAUACAGAAUUACCAAGCAUUUCAUCAUGGUUUCCUGGCAACUCCUAUCGAGCUUCAUUUUUACAUGAUAGGGAGCAGUCUUAUCCGACUGUUGCAACUGCCAGCUCCCAGAGGAUGUUAGGAUCAGCUGCUGGUGGGGCCACCUUCGCAGGUGAUAUUUACAGACCUCCACUGCUCUCGUCCUCACCUGCCAUGGCCUUCUCUCCUGCUGCUUCAUUUCCAUAUGCCGGGUUCCCUUUUGGCAACAAUUUUUCACUGGCUUCGACAUCCUUCUCUGGUGGGUCAACAGCAUACAUGGACUCUUCAUCAGGAGGUGCAUGCUUCCCAACUGUUCCUUCCCAGCUAGUUGGAGCAGGCGGUGCUGUCUCAUCCCAAUACAUGAGGCCCUACCCGAUUAGCCUUCCAGAAUCUACUACUUCUAGCAGUGGGGCUGAAAACAAUCGGAAGUUGUCGAGGCAUGGUCUAGAUCUCAAUGCAGGUCCUGGUAGUGGGGACAUAGAAGGGAGAGAUGAGAGGUUGCCUUCAGCCUCAAGGCAACUCCCAGUUGCCAACUCUCAGGCACUAUUAGAGGAACAGGCAAGGAUGUACCAGGUGGCAGCCGGGGCAUUGAAGAGGAAGGAGCCUGAAGGAGGGUGGGAUGCAGAUAGAUUUAGUUACAGGCAAACAUCAUGGCAGUAGGAAAGCUAGCAUCAAAGGAAUGAUUGGCAAUUCAUGAUGGCCUGGUGCAGGCAUACGUGGGAAUCUCUCUAUUUCUCAUCACUUGUUGCGCUUGGUCUAUAAGUUAUACACAAUAUCCAGCUCACAUGCAUCCCGCUGUUUGCCACAUGGACUGUGAGGGGGGGAACUCUUUUCAAAAAAAUUCACACCUCGCUGUAAUUCUUUUCCCUCAGGAUGGCGAGUUGCUGGCGACCCCCUGGAGGUUGUGUUUGGCUGGCUUCGGAGGAUGGGUGGUAAGUGCGUCCCUCCUGUUUUUAUCUUCUGAUGACCACCAUCUCUUCCCCCGAAGCAACUGUAAUUAUGAGAAUCAAGUUUUGGAAGCCGUUUGUUCCCGCCAAAUCUGUUCUGGGGAGCUUGUCUACGGUGGUUCAAUUCCCCCUUUGUAGAUAAUAACUGUUGAAAUGCACUGAGUGCUGUGUUUGCCCAGACGCUUUGACAUCAGGUGGCAUAACUCUAAUACCUGAUAGUCGGGCACACCACAUCGGGCCCAUACCUUUGCUGCCGGACCCUACUUUAAUUUUUCUUUUUUCUUUUUUCCUUUUAGUUAAAGAGGGGUGGAUAUAUGAA